rnacentral:lncRNA from 1 species
CCAAGCUCUCCUGGCUGCCCAAUGUCCCCUUCGCUUGCAUAUCACUGACAUUCUGACAUCACACUGACAUCACACCAUGGCAACCAUUGGAUGAAGACCUCGUCUCCAGAGGACUCCUGUUAACACCAGACGUAUAAUGGGAGUGACACAGUGAUCUGCUGGCACUCUUGAAGACAUCAGCUUGGUCAAGAAUGUUGGCAGAGGCGCCUCAAGAAACAACUGCCUUCCACUCAUGAGCUGAAAUGUCAUUGCUGAAAGCGAGGCAGAUGAGUGGAAGUGGAAAGACCUGGGGCUGUGGGCGUCCUUGUGACCAGCCUGGCAAGGCCCACGCCUGCCCCAUGGAGACUCUGGGGCAGCCUUUGCAGAAGCAAACACUAUCAUCAGGGACUAGAAAAAGCUGCUCUCCCAUGGAAGGGAAGGAGGUAGUCCCAGGAAACCUGUCCCUGAGGCCCGUGAGGCUGAUGGGACCACGCUGUGCCCCGGACUGGACAAGAGGCGUCCAGGGCUCUGGGCAUGGCCAGGCGUUCAGGCAAUUGCAUCUUUGGCCCAGGGAAGGCCCUUCGUCUCAUUCCCCAGAGGUACUUCUCCUCACCUAGAAAGCAAGGUGGCAUGACCAGCACUGCUACGCCUCCCAGUGUUGGAAGGAUGAGACUUGAGUUACAAACGCCACCACAGCGGUCUUAACAUCUGGCUUCCAAGGGGUCAAACUCUGAACAGUGCAGGGAGAGUAGGAGGCCAAAUGGGACCUCCUGCUGGGCAACCAGCUGUCUUCUUGAAACUCCUCCUGAAGCUGCAGCCAGCAGAGCAGCACAUCUCUGCAUGUGAGGACACCUCCCUUUCCUUCUCUCUCACUCUCACUGCCUCGAUUUGUACCUCCCGAAUAAAACAUCGGCAC